rnacentral:rRNA from 1 species
UACGAAGGGGGCAAGCGUUGUUCGGAAUUACUGGGCGUAAAGGGCGCGUAGGCGGUGCUCUAAGUCAGGCGUGAAAGCCCUGGGCUCAACCCGGGAACUGCGCUUGAUACUGGGGCGCUUGAAUCCAGGAGAGGUUGGUGGAAUUCCCAGUGUAGAGGUGAAAUUCGUAGAGAUUGGGAAGAACACCGGUGGCGAAGGCGGCCAACUGGACUGGUAUUGACGCUGAGGCGCGAAAGCGUGGGGAGCAAACAGG